UAGUAUAUAUUCUAUCUGCGGCAAAACCCACUACUGGUGUCACUAGAGUCUGUUUUGGUAAACGCAUUCAGAAUGUCUAACUCAAGAACUUUUCUAGAUCUUUUUGUCUAAAAGUGCAUAAAAUGCCAAACGGCGUGUUAAAAGUGCGGUUACCGUUGGCCGUCGGCGUUAGCGAAUAAAAGACGCCACAGACAAAUCGAACUCGUUGGAAGCAACAUAAGUUAAUUGGCUUUGAUAUUAAAUAAUUUCACACCAGAACUUCAACAAUCAAGGGCGUGUUAUUGUUUCCCAUACGGGGCGCGCACACGACGCCUGGAAGCCAUUCUAUGCUCGCGCAGCAGGUAUACUGACAGCAGCAGGAGCGAAACGCCGGCGUUGCACAGCGGUGUCACAGAGCCACCGCGCUGCGAUUACUUCGGCGACACAAUCCAAAUUUGUCCGACAUCUCAUUCUGUGCUGGAAACACUGGGAGGCAGGAAGUUUGAAAAAACGGCCACUGCCGCCCGCAAUGUUUCGGUCGUGGGCUGGUCGUGGGUUCGUUAUGCCAGUUGUGCGUCAUUCUAAGCCGUUCUGUACAUUUAUACUGGAUAUUAAUUGGAGUCAUUUAGCUGUGCUGAUGCUGUUUGCCGUGUGUUUUGCGUCAGUGCUUCGUGACAUCGGCUGUAUUGCGUGUUUUCGCCGACGGCUUACUACCACAAUGGCGGGAUCUGCGUUCGCCGCCUUCGUGUCUCGGUGCGUCUUUGUACGUCGCACGUUCGGAUAACACUUUUUCCGACAGCUGGACAUCCUUCUUGUACCUUGGCGCUAGCUGGAUGACGGGACAUCAUGAUCAGUGUAUUCCUUGCCUAUGUCUACAAGAACCGUCACGCGUGGCCUGUGACAGCAAGCUUUUGUGGGCAGCAAGUGCUCUCCUACGAAGGCUGGCCUACUCUGGCAGCGGCGGCAAUCAUCUUCAAGAUUUAUCCAUAAUCACCUUUGCUGCUUUUUGUCACUCUUGUUGAUUACACUUUCUGCGUCUUUUCUGAUUUAUUAGGUAAUAAAGUAUGAGUAUGUGA